rnacentral:lncRNA from 1 species
UACCUACCCAGGCGUACCGGUACACGGGCCGAAGUACCGGUACAAAGGCUAACCCGAGAGCAACCCGCGCGCAGCCUGAUGAAGUGUACCGGUACACCUUGAUGGCUGUACCGGUACAGCAAGCAGAAAAACUGCUAUUUUGCAGAUUUUCUCGCCAAAUGCUACACUCGCGUCGCAGAGAGUCCGUUUUGCGUCUAUUUCACGCCAAAGCGACUCGGACUUGUCCCGACACUCUCAUGAGUUGUCGACAAGCCUCCACAGCCGAACACCAGGGAUCUCACAAUUAUAUUCAUUUUUAAUAAUUUAUACUUAAAAUACUCUUACAAAUAACAAAAAUAUAUUAAGAUUUUAUUUUUUUUUCUUAUCGAAGAAGUAAGGACGAUAUGGUCAUUUUGCCCUCUUUAUUAAUGUCGUACAUCUCUGAAAAUAUUUCUGAAAUUUUAAGAAGGCAAAAUGUAAGUUUUUGAAAGUCAGGAGGAAUAGUAAAAAAGCGAAUAAUUUUUUAAAAAAAUUCUACAAUUUAGCCUUAUUUUCUAAUUUUUUUAAUAA